rnacentral:rRNA from 1 species
CCUACGGGAGGCAGCAGUGGGGAAUAUUGCACAAUGGGGGAAACCCUGAUGCAGCGACGCCGCGUGAGUGAGGAAGUAUUUCGGUAUGUAAAGCUCUAUCAGCAGGGAAGAAAAUGACGGUACCUGACCAAGCAGCCCCGGCUAACUACGGGCCAGCAGCCGCGGUAAUACGUAGGGGGCAAGCGUUAACCGGAUGUACUGGGUGGAAAGGGAGCGUAGACGGGUAAUCAAGUCAGAAGUGAAAAACCAGGGCUCAACCUUGGGACUGCGUUUGACACGGAGUAGCUAGAGUGCAGGAGAGGUAAGCGGAAUUCCUGGUGUAGCGGUGAAAUGCGUAGAUAUUAGGAGGAACACCAGUGGCGAAGGCGGCUUACUGGACUGUAACUGACGUUGAGGCUCGAAAGCGUGGGGAGCGAACAGGAUUAGAUACCCCUGUAGUC